rnacentral:rRNA from 1 species
GACGAACGCUGGCGGCGUGCUUAACACAUGCGAGUCGAACGGUGAAGCUCCAGCUUGCUGGAGUGGAUCAGUGGCGAACGGGUGAGUAACACGUGAGCAACCUGCCCCUGACUCUGGAAUAAGCGCUGGAAACGGCGUCUAAUACUGGAUACGAGAAGGGUCCGCAUGGGCACUUUCUGGAAAGUUUUUCGGUUGGGGAUGGGCUCGCGGCCUAUCAGCUUGUUGGUGAGGUAAUGGCUCACCAAGGCGACGACGGGUAGCCGGCCUGAGAGGGCGACCGGCCACCCUGGGACUGGGGCACGGCCCAGACUCCUACGGGAGGCAGCAGUUGGGAAUAUUGCCCAAUGGGCGAAAGCCUGAUGCAGCGACGCCGCGUGAGGGAUGACGGCCUUCGGGUUGUAAACCUCUUUCAGCAGGGAAGAAGCGAAAGUGACGGUACCUGCAGAAGAAGCACCGGCUAACUACGUG